rnacentral:rRNA from 1 species
ACUGGCAGCCAUAUCACCCUGUAGCCCAAGACUGGUUGCCCACUGAAGCUAAGCAGGGCUGAGCCUGGUCAGUACCUGGAUGGGAGACCUCCUGGGAAAACUAGGUUGCUGUUGAAA